GGGGUGGGCCUUAUUACAUGCAAGUUCGAACGAACUCUGGUAUUGAUUGGUGCUUGCAUCAUGAUUUACAUUUGAGUGAGUGGCGAACUGGUGAGUAACACGUGGGAAACCUGCCCAGAAGCGGGGGAUAACACCUGGAAACAGAUGCUAAUACCGCAUAACAACUUGGACCGCAUGGUCCGAGUUUGAAAGAUGGCUUCGGCUAUCACUUUUGGAUGGUCCCGCGGCGUAUUAGCUAGAUGGUGGGGUAACGGCUCACCAUGGCAAUGAUACGUAGCCGACCUGAGAGGGUAAUCGGCCACAUUGGGACUGAGACACGGCCCAAACUCCUACGGGAGGCAGCAGUAGGGAAUCUUCCACAAUGGACGAAAGUCUGAUGGAGCAACGCCGCGUGAGUGAAGAAGGGUUUCGGCUCGUAAAACUCUGUUGUUAAAGAAGAACAUAUCUGAGAGUAACUGUUCAGGUAUUGACGGUAUUUAACCAGAAAGCCACGGCUAACUACGUGCCAGCAGCCGCGGUAAUACGUAGGUGGCAAGCGUUGUCCGGAUUUAUUGGGCGUAAAGCGAGCGCAGGCGGUUUUUUAAGUCUGAUGUGAAAGCCUUCGGCUCAACCGAAGAAGUGCAUCGGAAACUGGGAAACUUGAGUGCAGAAGAGGACAGUGGAACUCCAUGUGUAGCGGUGAAAUGCGUAGAUAUAUGGAAGAACACCAGUGGCGAAGGCGGCUGUCUGGUCUGUAACUGACGCUGAGGCUCGAAAGUAUGGGUAGCAAACAGGAUUAGAUACCCUGGUAGUCCAUACCGUAAACGAUGAAUGCUAAGUGUUGGAGGGUUUCCGCCCUUCAGUGCUGCAGCUAACGCAUUAAGCAUUCCGCCUGGGGAGUACGGCCGCAAGGCUGAAACUCAAAGGAAUUGACGGGGGCCCGCACAAGCGGUGGAGCAUGUGGUUUAAUUCGAAGCUACGCGAAGAACCUUACCAGGUCUUGACAUACUAUGCAAAUCUAAGAGAUUAGACGUUCCCUUCGGGGACAUGGAUACAGGUGGUGCAUGGUUGUCGUCAGCUCGUGUCGUGAGAUGUUGGGUUAAGUCCCGCAACGAGCGCAACCCUUAUUAUCAGUUGCCAGCAUUAAGUUGGGCACUCUGGUGAGACUGCCGGUGACAAACCGGAGGAAGGUGGGGAUGACGUCAAAUCAUCAUGCCCCUUAUGACCUGGGCUACACACGUGCUACAAUGGAUGGUACAACGAGUUGCGAACUCGCGAGAGUAAGCUAAUCUCUUAAAGCCAUUCUCAGUUCGGAUUGUAGGCUGCAACUCGCCUACAUGAAGUCGGAAUCGCUAGUAAUCGCGGAUCAGCAUGCCGCGGUGAAUACGUUCCCGGGCCUUGUACACACCGCCCGUCACACCAUGAGAGUUUGUAACACCCAAAGUCGGUGGGGUAACCUUUUAGGAACCAGCCGCCUAAAGGGGGUCCA
rnacentral:rRNA from 1 species